AGUGAACGCUGGCGGUAGGCCUAACACAUGCAAGUCGAACGGCAGCACAGUAAGAGCCUGCUCUUACGGGUGGCGAGUGGCGGACGGGUGAGGAAUACAUCGGAAUCUACUUUUUCUUGGGGGAUAACGUAGGGAAACUUACGCUAAUACCGCAUACGACCUACGGGUGAAAGCAGGGGAUCUUCGGACCUUUCGCGAUUGAAUGAGCCGAUGUCGGAUUAGCUAGUUGGCGGGGUAAAGGCCCACCAAGGCGACGAUCCGUAGCUGGUCUGAGAGGAUGAUCAGCCACACUGGAACUGAGACACGGUCCAGACUCCUACGGGAGGCAGCAGUGGGGAAUAUUGGACAAUGGGCGCAAGCCUGAUCCAGCCAUACCGCGUGGGUGAAGAAGGCCUUCGGGUUGUAAAGCCCUUUUGUUGGGAAAGAAAAGCAGCAGGUUAAUACCCCGCUGUUCUGACGGUACCCAAAGAAUAAGCACCGGCUAACUUCGUG
rnacentral:rRNA from 1 species